rnacentral:rRNA from 2 species
UACGUAGGUGGCAAGCGUUGUCCGGAUUUACUGGGCGUAAAGGAUGCGUAGGCGGAUACUUAAGUCAGAUGUGAAAAUCCCGAGCUUAACUUGGGAACUGCAUUUGAAACUGGGUAUCUAGAGUGUGGGAGAGGAAAGUGGAAUUCCUAGUGUAGCGGUGAAAUGCGUAGAGAUUAGGAAGAACACCAGUGGCGAAGGCGACUUUCUGGACCAUAACUGACGCUGAGGCAUGAAAGCGUGGGGAGCAAACAGG